rnacentral:rRNA from 1 species
GACGAACGCUGGCGGCGUGCUUAACACAUGCAAGUCGAACGAGGCCCUCCCUUCGGGGAGGUGUCCUAGUGGCGAACGGGUGAGUAACACGUGGGCAACCUGCCCCCGGCUCUGGGAUAACUCCAAGAAAUUGGGGCUAAUACCGGAUAUGACCGCUGACCGCAUGGUCUGGUGGUGGAAAGUUUUUCGGCUGGGGAUGGGCCCGCGGCCUAUCAGCUUGUUGGUGGGGUAGUGGCCUACCAAGGCGACGACGGGUAGCCGGCCUGAGAGGGUGACCGGCCACACUGGGACUGAGACACGGCCCAGACUCCUACGGGAGGCAGCAGUGGGGAAUAUUGCGCAAUGGGCGGAAGCCUGACGCAGCGACGCCGCGUGGGGGAUGACGGCCUUCGGGUUGUAAACCUCUUUCAGCAGGGACGAAGCGAAAGUGACGGUACCUGCAGAAGAAGCACCGGCCAACUACGUGCCAGCCGCCGCCGUAACAC